rnacentral:rRNA from 1 species
GACGAACGCUGGCGGCGUGCCUAAUACAUGCAAGUCGAACGGUCUUUUCUAUGGAAGCUUGCUUCCGCUGAGAAGAUAGUGGCGAACGGGUGAGUAACACGUGGGUAACCUGCCCAUAAGAGGGGGAUAACAUCCGGAAACGGGUGCUAAUACCGCAUAGUUUUCUUGAUCGCAUGAUCGGGAAAGGAAAGACGGCCUUUGUGCUGUCGCUUAUGGAUGGACCCGCGGCGUAUUAGUUAGUUGGUGAGGUAACGGCUCACCAAGACGAUGAUACGUAGCCGACCUGAGAGGGUGAUCGGCCACAUUGGGACUGAGACACGGCCCAAACUCCUACGGGAGGCAGCAGUAGGGAAUCUUCCGCAAUGGACGAAAGUCUGACGGAGCAACGCCGCGUGAGUGAAGAAGGUUUUCGGAUCGUAAAACUCUGUUGUCAGAGAAGAACAAGUUGGAGAGUAACUGCUCCAGCCUUGACGGUAUCUGACCAGAAAGCCACGGCUAACUACGUG